rnacentral:rRNA from 1 species
GACGAACGCUGGCGGCGUGCUUAACACAUGCAAGUCGAACGGAAAGGCCCUGCUUUUGUGUGGUGCUCGCGUGGCGAACGGGUGAGUAACACGUGAGUAACCUUCCCUUGACUUUGGGAUAACUUCAGGCAACUGGUGCUACUACCUGCUAGGAGCUCCUGCUGCAUGGUGGGGUUUGGACAUUUUCGGCGGUUGGGGAUGGACUCCCGGGUUGUCAGCUGGUUGGUGGGGUAGUGGCUUACCAAGGGUUUGACGGGUAGCCGGCCUGAGAGGGUGACCGGCCACAUUGGGACUGAGAUACGGCCCAGACUCCUACGGGAGGCAGCAGUGGGGAAUAUUGCACAAUGGGCGGAAGCCUGAUGCAGCAACGCCGCGUGCGGGAUGACGGCCUUCGGGUUGUAAACCGCUUUCGCCUGUGACGAAGCGUGAGUGACGGUAAUGGGUAAAGAAGCACCGGCUAACUACGUG